rnacentral:rRNA from 1 species
GACGAACGCUGGCGGCGUGCUUAACACAUGCAAGUCGAACGGAAAGGCCCUGCUUUUGUGGGGUGCUCGAGUGGCGAACGGGUGAGUAACACGUGAGUAACCUGCCCUUGACUUUGGGAUAACUUCAGGAAACUGGGGCUAAUACCGGAUAGGAGCUCCUGCUGCAUGGUGGGGGUUGGAAAGUUUCGGCGGUUGGGGAUGGACUCGCGGCUUAUCAGCUUGUUGGUGGGGUAGUGGCUUACCAAGGCUUUGACGGGUAGCCGGCCUGAGAGGGUGACCGGCCACAUUGGGACUGAGAUACGGCCCAGACUCCUACGGGAGGCAGCAGUGGGGAAUAUUGCACAAUGGGCGGAAGCCUGAUGCAGCAACGCCGCGUGCGGGAUGACGGCCUUCGGGUUGUAAACCGCUUUCGCCUGUGACGAAGCGUGAGUGACGGUAAUGGGUAAAGAAGCACCGGCUAACUACGUGCCAGCAGCCGCGGUGAUACGUAGGGUGCGAGCGUUGUCCGGAUUUAUUGGGCGUAAAGGGCUCGUAGGUGGUUGAUCGCGUCGGAAGUGUAAUCUUGGGGCUUAACCCUGAGCGUGCUUUCGAUACGGGUUGACUUGAGGAAGGUAGGGGAGAAUGGAAUUCCCGGUGGAGCGGUGGAAUGCGCAGAUAUCAGGAGGAACACCAGUGGCGAAGGCGGUUCUCUGGGCCUUUCCUGACGCUGAGGAGCGAAAGCGUGGGGAGCGAACAGGCUUAGAUACCCUGGUAGUCCACGCUGUAAACGGUGGGUACUAGGUGUGGGGUCCAUUCCACGGGUUCCGUGCCGUAGCUAACGCUUUAAGUACCCCGCCUGGGGAGUACGGCCGCAAGGCUAAAACUCAAAGGAAUUGACGGGGCCCCGCACAAGCGGCGGAGCAUGCGGAUUAAUUCGAUGCAACGCGUAGAACCUUACCUGGGUUUGACAUGGAUCGGGAGUGCUCAGAGAUGGGUGUGCCUCUUUUGGGGUCGGUUCACAGGUGGUGCAUGGCUGUCGUCAGCUCGUGUCGUGAGAUGUUGGGUUAAGUCCCGCAACGAGCGCAACCCUUGUUCACUGUUGCCAGCACGUUAUGGUGGGGACUCAGUGGAGACCGCCGGGGUCAACUCGGAGGAAGGUGGGGAUGACGUCAAGUCAUCAUGCCCCUUAUGUCCAGGGCUUCACGCAUGCGACAAUGGCUGGUACAGAGAGUGGCGAGCCUGUGAGGGUGAGCGAAUCUCGGAAAGCCGGUCUCAGUUCGGAUUGGGGUCUGCAACUCGACCUCAUGAAGUCGGAGUCGCUAGUAAUCGCAGAUCAGCAACGCUGCGGUGAAUACGUUCCCGGGGCU